AACCGUCUGUCGCUGGGGAGAAAUUCAGCUUGGGGGAAAGCGCCGCGAAGUCUAUCUUUAACUAAGGUAAAAUACUAUAAAUAAUAAAAAUAUUUGUUUAUUAUCUAUUUAUCUCUUUCUAUUUAUUUACUUAAAGACUAAUUAUUUGCCUUCCUUAGGGUAGGGAUUAUUAGUAAGAAGUAUUUUAUUUUUUAUAUUUAACUUUCAUUUUUAGGGAUAAAUAAACUAAAUAAAUCUUCUUAACCUUAAAAAAGCUAACCUUAAAAAGGUCAGAAAAAUCCCUAUGGAGAGGUUAAAUUAAUAAAUGAAAAUAAAAUUGAUUUGAUUAUUCAUUUAUUUGAAUAGUUAGUGUAGUUAUUCUUUAAUUUAUAAUUCUAUUAUAUUUUAACUAGGUAUUUAACUGCUUUUGUUAGGUCUAAUUAGUUUCGACUAACC
rnacentral:rRNA from 1 species